UGAUAAAAUAAUUGUGCACGUCCCCUUUAAGAGUUUGUUAGUAAUACACUGUCUAAAAACGUGGCUUUGCCCAGCAGGUUAGUUCAUUUCUUUGUGAUUGGCCCUUGUCCUUCUUAUUCCCGCCUCUGCAGGUAUACUGAGAAUUCUGAUUGGAUGAAGGGGUGGAGUUUAGAACUGCAGAUCGGUGUGAGAGUUUAGUUAACGAUGUGACUGGGAGGAAUUCAUGGACCAGUUGGGACUUACCUCGGACGUGCUUUGGAGUAUCGUUGCUAUGGCGAUAAAGGAUCGUGCUGCUGUUCGGUAGAGGAGGGACUACAGAAAGAUCUACAGCUUCAGAGGAGGGAAUUUCGUGUUCCAGCCGCCUGGGAAGCCGUUCAGCCGACCAGAGUCCGCUCUUCCAGAACCAGAACCCAUGCAGGUGGAUCCUACUGGUCUCUCACUGUCAGAGCGUCAUGGAAGACUUACUCUAGGAUUGUGUCUAUACUGUGGAGCAUCGGGGCAUCCCAUCAUCUCAUGCCCCAUUUGCCCCCCACCACCACACCUGUCUCAGCCCUCCUCCAUUCAGGAUUAACUCAUUAAACCACAUAAGUCCGUCCCACACCACUGUAUUAUUAGAUAAAGUGCUGUGAUCUUAUAUGAUAAAACAUUUAAUAAGGUGUUAAUAUGAUCAAUUCUGCUCAUAAAACAUUUCUCAGUAAUUAGAAAUGAUAAAUUGAUUAAUCCGUACAGCCUAAACCACAGUCAUUAAACAUUGACUAAUCUAACAUUUAAAAGGUGAUAAACAUGUUCAGACAUGAGUAUUUAGGCACUUUUAAUAAACAAAAAAAACAAAAGUUUUAUGGCUUUUAACAGUUUAAAUGUUAUUUUAUUUUAGAACUUAUAGAACUUUUAGAACUAAUCUGCAGCUCCUCUGCUACGUCCACUGCCUCUGGUACCUCUGAAAACAGGAAAUUACAGCAAGAAAGAAGAUAUUAGAGAUAUAGAGAGAUAUUUCUAGAGAUAUUUCAGGACAGAAGUCCAUCACUACCAGACAUUGUCCAGAUACAAUAAACAAUGAUGGAUGAAGUUCAGUGAUGGACACAUGCAGGAAAUCAAAAGGACAGUGAUGGAAAAAGUAAAGUAGAAUAAAUACAAAGAUAAGGAGAACUUUAAGACACGUAAAACACCCACGUUUACACAUCAAUGCCUGUAACUGGGUGUUUUAGUUACAAAACUUAAAUGUAAGAAACAUUCAACUAAAGUUAUGAUUACAAAGAACUUUUAGAAUGUGUUAAAUUGAUAGUAUUAAUAUCUGCCGGCAGCGGCGGGAUGAAGGCAUUUACGUCAUUGUGAAUUGCGUCGUUACGUAAAAGAACUGGAACAUUGAACUGGUUCAUUAAAACGAACUGACCGAAAGAACCAGAUCGCGGAAAAGAACCAAACUUCCCAUCACUACUCGUCUGGAUUGUUACCAAAUAACAAUUCAUGUACAGUCACUUUCUUCAUUUCCUAAACAAUAUUUCAAACAAUUAUUAGUCCAAUUUUUAUUGUUCUGUGAGUGAGUGAUAUGUGAGUGAUAUUUGCUGGUACAUCUGUAGUUGGCUAAAACGUAGCUGUCUGUUUAGAAGGUCCCCAUCUUGUUUGCCACACUACGUUGGAUAUUCAGUGGACAUUCACCAGUACGUAUGCCAUUAAAACAAUACUUGGGCAUUUGGAUCGAUUGUGAAAAAUGUAGUAGGUUGAGAAUCAUGUCGCUGAAUAGAAUUAGCCAAAAAUGACUUUACUGCACAUUAAAUUAGAACGUUAUUGAACCCUGAAGUGUGAAUAUAAAACCAACUUUACCUCAGUGCAGACUGUUCCAUCAUCAAACAGACCAGCUGCUCCGAGUUGUGUAACAACCACCUAAGCUGAUGAAAAAAUAAAAUUUAUAGAAUAUAUAAAUUACAUAGAAAUGUCUAUACUUCUGCACAAAUAAAGACACUUCACUGUUCAGGUGGUUACGCUGGAUUUCACUCAUCUCGGGGACCUCCUCAUCAUUCCAAAAUGGGUUAUAUUCACUCAUGUAAGAUAAAACGUCAACAGCCUGGCUGGUGAGCAGGUGUGCCAGGUUGGAUAAAUCCUGUGGUGGGUCAACAAGAGAGUAAAAUUACUAAUGUAUAAAACAUUUCAAAUAUCAGAUAUUACAGUUGUUAUACCUGUUAGUUUUAUUUAUUGUGUGUGUAUAUAUAUAAAAAUCUAUAUAUAUAUAUAUAUAUAUAUUUAACACCAUGGAGACUCGGCUCACCUAAUGUCUCUCUCCCCCCCCCUCACUGCACUCUUCAUUGGUUUCCAGUUUCUGCUACAUUAGAUUUUAAACUGAAUGUAUUCAUGGACAGACUUGUAAAGCAAUUCUGUAAGACAGACUUACUGGAUCCAGCAGUCCCAGGUUGGUCACACACAGGAUGGCCACAGCCUGCCCAAACCCAACCAGUGUCAGUCUUUCUGUAUUCUACACCAUGUCGACAAGAGAGUAAAAACAAAUGCACAUGGAUUUAAAAUGUAAACUGUCCAAUUCUCCCUAGUUGUUCAUACAUUUAUGUGAACGUGAAUGUACAACUCUGAGGUAAACCUGAGGUCACCGUCAUGAUCUAGCUUCACAUUUGUCAUGUUCUUAUUGACACAGAAUAUUAGAUCUAACAGCUGCUCUAUUUAUAAGCUGACAUUGUAAUUAUGCACAAAUCAAACGUGUGUUAUUGGUCAUUAUCUUUCUUCCUGCUCCUCCUACACACUUAUUGGCUAAGAUCCUUGUGACCAAUCUGAAACAGUCCAUCAUUCUGUUCUACACCACAAUAAUAAUUAUUAAAUAAUAAUAAAUGAAGACACGAGACACAGAAGACAUGUUUGUGUUUUAAUUGUUUUAAUAGUUAAAUUGUUCAUUGUUGCACACGGCAAAUUUAGAUCAGACUUCCAUUUUAGGAUUAGAUUUAAAUUUAAAUCAGAUUGGAAAAUCUGAUCUACUAAAUUGCCUAAAAACGUGUUUUUGUUUAAAAGUAAGUUUAAAAUGGACUUCUGCUUCGAAUGUUCAUACAGAUACAAAUCUGAAUGUGGAGCAGUAAACAGUUAUAGAUUCAGGUACCAACACAGACAUAAAUGAAGACAUGAGACGUGUUUGUUGAUGUGGAUCAUGACAAAAACAAGGGAGAUUUCUGAGGCCUUCAGAGAAAGUGUUCUUUUUGUUCAUCAGGCUGGAAAAGGUUCCAAAAUCAUUGUGAAAGAGUUUGGAGUGUAAAAAUCUAUAGUCAGUGUUACGUAUGAAAUGAUGACAUUAACUUCAUCUGGAUUUUGUCUUUUAUUUCUCUCGUGCAGAACUCACAAUGUACACAUUUGGUCCUUGUUGCUGUAGUUUUUUAGUUGGAGUUUAGAACUGCAGAUCGAUGUGAGAGGUUUGUGCUGUUUUUUUUUCUCCUGCGAGUUUUAAGGCUAAUAUAUAGAGUAAAUAACCACUGACAAAGUGUGUUAAAGCGUCUGUAUUUGGCUGACCGAGUGUUAUUACUACUUUUAUUUGUGUAUAUAAUGUGUACAAGAGUAAAGUUUACGACUUGUUCCUUCUGAGUCUGCAUUACUUUAGUACAUUAUUAACCCUCACAGUGUGUUAAUAGAAAUGUUAAGAGUGGAGUAACUGCCAUAGCACCAACAUCUGGUUAUCUUUAUGUGACAAUCUCAUCCUAUACAAUAAAGAAACAAAGUGAAAUUAAUGCAGAAAAACCAAAUAAAAGACACAAAGACAGGAAGAAGGAAGUUCUGGAAAAUAAACUAAAGGAAAUGUGGACACUGUUGUAUGAAAUAAAGAAAGUGAAUGUAUCUGAUUAAAACUGUGAAGAAGAGAUCCAGAAGGAAGCUGAUACAACAACAGGAGGAACAGACACUGUACCUAGACAGUUGGAUAAAGAACCAUCAUCUUGCUGAAAGAAGAUUAUUGAAUUGUUCUACGUUUUCUUUUUCAUUUUAUAGAACAAUAAGUUUUCUUUACCUUUUAUACCAACUUACGUCAUCGUUUGUAUGCUCAAGAAAUGAUGUAAUGUUCAGUAGCAUGUUUAAAUGUCAAGAUAGAGAGUAACAUUGAAAGCUUGAUGUGAAAUCACAAGGUUUUGUGUCAGCAGUAUAAAAAACACAAAACCUGAAGAACUAAUUAUAUUUAUAUAUGUAUAUUUAUGUAGAUACAUUAUUUUUCACUUAUAUUUUCAUAUUUUAUAUAGUUUUUUAUAUAGUUGAUCCUUUUUUAUUUAUUUAUCUCCUUUUGGUUUAUUUUUUUAUCCUAAAUUGUAUUCCUUUUUUUAUGCUUAUAUACCGGACAGUUGUAAAAAGCAUGUGACUGCAUGUCGUACCCUGUAUGUACGUGUACGUGACCAAUAACUUUGGGGUUUGUUUUUAUUGUUUUUAACUUGGUUUGUCAUUUUAUUUUCUUCUACUUACGCUAGAAUUGUUUGAUUAUUUGAAGCAGAUUUUAUUAGUAAUUUUCCUUUCCAUAUAUUACACACAUUUAUCUGUAUUACACUGCUUUUAAUAAAAACAAGGCCUCCCAUUGUGAGGAUCCUGAAAACACAAGAAGGUCUAAGUCUGACUCCUUCAUCUAAAGAUACAAACAAU